AAAUCAGACACCUCCCCUCUUCAUAAACUAGGCCCUUGCGCUAUUUUAUCAUUAGUAGCGCUUUAGGGCACGGGUAGGGAGGAAGCGAUCCGGACAGUAUACCGGCGCUGAGCGGAGCCAAAUCCCACAGUGGGUGAGGCCACAAUCGAAUGUGGGUAGGACUAAAGCAUAAUCACACGGUUUUCUCUCACAUAUGCACACGCCGCAUUCGUGCUUCAUCGGCUUUAGAGGAAGAAGAGACCAGCUCACUGCAAUCGUGGAGGAAGUAUAGUGGUCUCCUCAGCUCCUGGAUCCCCUUUGACAGUUGCCUAUAAUCAGCCUUGGGAGCAGGGAGGACAGAAGCUGCAAAGAAGCCAGGAGAUUAAUGAGGGAUCUUCCACUUCUCAUCUAGUUUGGACCUUGAUCAAGACAAAGACCAAAGUAAUAAAUUCUGUGAAGAUGGGGAUGAAAGGAAGAUGUAGGAGAAAACUACAUGAACAUGAAGAAUUAGAAGAACCAUCAAUGUGAAUAUUGAAUACAUAUGUCACCAAAUCUGGAAUACUUGGAUUUCAAGGAGUCACUCAUCAUGGAGACUGAUGGGAUCUUCUUUCCUUCUAUCAGUGAUAAACCUAGAACAGCAUAGCAUGAGCGUAAUGUUUCAAGGGUCUUCUACUAAGCCCUGGGCCUAGAGAUCACUGAUGUUCCCUAACAUUGCUACCACCUACUGAUUUACAGAGAGCAUUAGGACUCUCCUUUUAUUAUACUCUGUAAAUUAAAGCCACAUUGGGCAUUGAGACAGGUUAGCCUAGAAUUCCCAAAUCAGAAAACAUUCAUGAAUUUAAAUUGAUACAUAUACUUAUUAAUGAAUAACAGCUAAAACAAGAAAUCAUUUACCUGUUUAUUUUCUAUUCUUUAUCAUAUAAUGUUUUUUUAAUAUCCCCCAUCUUUUACUAGUCAAUCUCUCUCCCCUUUGUACUCCCUUACUCAUCUCAACUCUCUUAACCUCACUCUAACUUGGUCAAACUGCCUAACUCCUUAACUGUAUUUCUCAAGUGACUCUGUUCUCCUGUCACUGUUACUAACUCAUACUCAACCAACCAUUCUAUCAUGUUCCCCUGCUGUCAAUCACUUUUCAAUUCAUUCUGCUGUUACACUGGAAUUCAGGGUUAUUUAUAGAGAAAACCCUUUCAAGAUAAUGGGCUGGAUCCUAAGAUAAGAUAAGGAAGGUCAUGCAAGGGAAGUUUCCUGCUCCCUCCUUUCCCUUGCAGCUACUUGAGCAAUGUGAAAUGCUACAGGGGGGAAAGAAAGGAUGGAAAAUGUCCUUUCUUAUUUCCUUAAGUUAACUUAUCUUAAAAUCCAAAACCCUAUGGAGCUGAGCCCAGUAAUAAGUCUGAAUCUGUGAAUCUGUUCCAAUUGGUUUAUUAGCUUCGUAGAUAACAACCUACUUUGUUGAAGGCAAGAAAUGGAAAGAAAAAGCAAGGCACUGUUGUGUCUUUCAAGUCAGUAAAUAUAUGGAUCAAAUCUACACCUUGCUGCAUGCUUAACUGCACAUCUAGGGGGUACAUUAACGGAGAUUUGGUUAGGAGAAACGAUUAAUUAUCAUUUGUCCAAAUAGCCACAUAACUGGCUAUUGCAGUUUUCUCUCUCCCCCUCUACAUGCACAUGCACACUAUUAGAAGAAUGCUUCUGUAUCCUAGGUAUCUCUAGCACCACAAACCAAAUUGUCCAGCACAAAGCCUGAGGCUUCCCUAUCUGUUCUAAUCAAUGGCUGUGUUGUUUUUCAUGGUGUAGGCAGCUCAAAAUGAAAUAUAUGCAGCAGCGGGAUAAAAACUAGCAAAUAAAAUAAAUAGCCGUAAUCUACCAAAAUUCCACUGGGUGUCACUCUUUAGUCUCAGAUUUUAUUUUAAAUUGAUGGAUUGCCUGUGAAAACAGCUGGCUGGAUAAAUAGUAAAUAAUUUUGUUACUGCAUUAAGACAGUCCCUAAAUUGUACAGUAAUUCAUACUCCUCUGAGUCUAAUCUGUUAUGGGAUAUUCUGAGCAAGAUCAGCUGAAAAAUCUAGCCCCAAACCAUCACAAAUAGUAGGAUUGUUGUAGUAGUGGCUGCAAUUGUUGUUACUAGCCCAUCAAUGUACAUAGAACUUCAUGGAGUGAAGUAAAAACAACAGUCUCUGCUCCAAAGAACUUGCAAUCUAUAAUUUGAUAAAGGGGGACACAACUGAGGAAAGGGAGGGGAAGGGAGAUGAGGGCUGAGGAUUUGAGUCAAAGGGCUCGCAGAAGAGGUGGGUGUUAGGAUGCAAUAUGAAGGAAGAG